ACCAUUCUCAUUAGAUAAAUUAUAUUCCAUUUCAAAGUUGCCUCAAGUGAGGUUACAAAACCCUACUUAAAGCAAGGACACCUAAAUCUACAGGAGAUCAACUAAAUCUAAAUUAAAAUUCUUAUAAUUUCAAAUUAAAAUAAACUAAAAAUUAUUAUAAAUCAAAUUAAAAUAAACAUAAUUCAUUCUAAUUUAUUGAAAUAUAGAUUAUCUUCAUAAUAUUGUGGUCCUUAUCAUUUCAUUUCCUACAUAUCCUUCCUUUUGGUAAUCCUAAAUUGCUUUUUCUAUUUUAUGAGUCAUGAAUCUUGCUAAGACAAUCUGUGAGACACUCACAAAUAAAUAGGAGGAGCAAUUUUCCAAGCGAAUAAACAUUGUAAUCCUCUUCUACAUCUUCUUAGAGGUCUAGAUUUUCUAGGUGUUCCCUUGUUCUCAUAAAGAUCAUAUAUUUUUCCAUUAUCGAUAGGAGGAGCAAUUUGUGAAAGCUUUGAUAUUGUUAGCAAUAUAGAAAACCACAAACAAAGGAGAGAACAAAAGACGAGUAUAUU
rnacentral:lncRNA from 1 species